UGCAAGUCGAGCGGAAACGAGUUAUCUGAACCUUCGGGGGACGAUAACGGCGUCGAGCGGCGGACGGGUGAGUAAUGCCUAGGAAAUUGCCCUGAUGUGGGGGAUAACCAUUGGAAACGAUGGCUAAUACCGCAUGAUGCCUACGGGCCAAAGAGGGGGACCUUCGGGCCUCUCGCGUCAGGAUAUGCCUAGGUGGGAUUAGCUAGUUGGUGAGGUAAGGGCUCACCAAGGCGACGAUCCCUAGCUGGUCUGAGAGGAUGAUCAGCCACACUGGAACUGACACACGGUCCAGACUCCUACGGGAGGCAGCAGUGGGGAAUAUUGCACAAUGGGCGCAAGCCUGAUGCAGCCAUGCCGCGUGUGUGAAGAAGGCCUUCGGGUUGUAAAGCACUUUCAGUCGUGAAGAAGGUAGUGUAGUU
rnacentral:rRNA from 1 species